GACAGAGGCCUCGAGCGUUAGGCGGAAUCACUGGGCUUAAAGCGUGUGUAGGCGGACCGUUAAGUACCUUGUGAAAUCCCACGGCUCAACCGUGGAACGGCUGGGUAUACUGGCGGUCUUGAGCAGCCUAGGGGCGAGCGGAACAAACGGUGGAGCGGUGAAAUGCGUAGAUAUCGUUUGGAACGCCAAUGGUGAAGACAGCUCGCUGGGGGCUCGCUGACGCUGAGACGCGAAAGCGUGGGGAGCAAACAGG
rnacentral:rRNA from 1 species